GACGAACGCUGGCGGCGUGCCUAAUACAUGCAAGUAGAACGCUGAAGCGAGGAGCUUGCUCUUCUUGGAUGAGUUGCGAACGGGUGAGUAACGCGUAGGUAACCUGCCUUGUAGCGGGGGAUAACUAUUGGAAACGAUAGCUAAUACCGCAUAACAAUGGAUGACACAUGACAUUUAUUUGAAAGGGGCAAUUGCUCCACUACAAGAUGGACCUGCGUUGUAUUAGCUAGUAGGUGAGGUAAUGGCUCACCUAGGCGACGAUACAUAGCCGACCUGAGAGGGUGAUCGGCCACACUGGGACUGAGACACGGCCCAGACUCCUACGGGAGGCAGCAGUAGGGAAUCUUGGGCAAUGGGGGCAACCCUGACCGAGCAACGCCGCGUGAGUGAAGAAGGUUUUCGGAUCGUAAAGCUCUGUUGUAAGUCAAGAACGGGUGUGAGAGUGGAAAGUUCACACUGUGACGGUAGCUUACCAGAAAGGGACGGCUAACUACGUG
rnacentral:rRNA from 1 species